rnacentral:rRNA from 1 species
AAGUGGUAGGAAUCCGAAGUGACCGACCUUCGGGAGCUUGCACAGGUGCUGCAUGGCUGUCGUCAGCUCGUGUCGUGAGAUGUUCGGUUAAGUCCGCUAACGAGCGCAACCCUCGUCGUGUGUUAUACGUGUCACACGAUACUGCCGGUAUCCAAAGCCGGAGGAAGUGGGGAUGAUGUCAAGCCAGCAUGGCCUUUAUAUCCUGGGCUACACACACGCUACAAUGGCAGAUACAAUAGGUUGCGAAACCGCGAGGUGGAGCCAAUCCUCAAAGUCUGUCUCAGUUCAGAUUGUAGGCUGCAACUCGCCUGCAUGAAGUUGGAGUUGCUAGUAAACGCAGGUCAGCUAUACUGCGUUGAAUACGUUCCCGGGGUUU